rnacentral:lncRNA from 1 species
UACUUCUUCCUUUUAUAUCAUGAUUCACGAGAUCCCCCUUCUUUCCCUUUCAGUUUAUUUAGGCUUUACAUCUCUCUUCAUAUACUCAUCUCCCACCUUUCUUCUUCCCCUCUUAUAGUACAAAAUCCUUGAAAUACGGAUAAGAAUUCGGAAGAAAUCCUCAAGGAUACGACGCAAAAUCGAAGUAUCCUUCAAGCUUAUACGCAACCCAUUCAUUCGAUACGACGCGUCGACGUCGUCCAUUUGUGUACUGUCGAAAAAAUAGAGUAUUGUUUGGAAGAUGAAGAAGGAUCGAAAAGAAUGGAGUCUAUUGAAUGAUUGAAUCCAUGAGUCGGUUUGUAUUGUUCUGAUUUUCUUUACACUCGUGGGUUUCUACCCCUUUUAUUGGUUUCCCUUUGGAUCUGAUGUGAAGGUGUUUAUUAUGGGUGGGUAGUUAUUUUAUUUGGUUAAAACUGGACUAAUUUGUUUGGUGCAGGGAGUUGGUAUGAUUUGAUUCCGACAAGUAUGGUGGUCUGGUUUGCCGGAGAUGAUUACCGUUGUUGUCACUGGGCGUGUGCUAAUGUUGAUGAUGGGUUGAUGGUGUGCUGAUGUUGAUGAUGGAUUGAUGAUGGGCUGAGUGUCAUUUGGGUUAUUCAAAUUCUGUUAUUUCAAGUUGGGCUGUUAUUUUAAGUUAGGCAGAGAUGUUUGCUGACUAAUUUGUUUUGUUUUGUUCGGCUUUCAUGUGGGCUGGAUUUUAGUUAGCUGGUGUAGUUCGGUU